ACGAGUGGCGGACGGGUGAGUAAUGUCUGGGAAACUGCCCGAUGGAGGGGGAUAACUACUGGAAACGGUAGCUAAUACCGCAUAACGUCGCAAGACCAAAGAGGGGGACCUUAGGGCCCCUUGCCAUCGGAUGUGCCCAGAUGGGAUUAGCUAGUAGGUGGGGUAACGGCUCACCUAGGCGACGAUCCCUAGCUGGUCUGAGAGGAUGACCAGCCACACUGGAACUGAGACACGGUCCAG
rnacentral:rRNA from 1 species